rnacentral:rRNA from 1 species
UGGGGAAUCUUGCGCAAUGGGGGCAACCCUGACGCAGCAACGCCGUGUGUGCGAUGAAGGCCCUCGGGUUGUAAAGCCCUUUCACCGGGGAAGAUGAUGACAUUACCCGGAGAAGAAGCGCCGGCUAACUCCGUGCCAGCAGCCGCGGCAAGACGGAGGGCGCUAGCGUUGUUCGGGAUCACUGGGCGUAAAGGGCGCGUAGGCGGCUGUUUAAGUCGAGGGUGAAAGCCCGGGGCUCAACCCCGGAACGGCCUUCGAGACUGGGCAGCUCGAGACCGGAAGAGGAGGGUGGAAUACCCAGUGUAGAGGUGAAAUUCGUAGAUAUUGGGUGGAACACCAGUGGCGAAAGCGGCUCUCUGGUCCGGAUCUGACGCUGAGGCGCGAAAGCGUGGGGAGCAAACAGGAUUAGAUACCCGCGUAGUCC